rnacentral:ncRNA from 1 species
GCUUAAUUUGACUCAACACGGGGAAACUUACCAGGUCCAGACAUAGUAAGGAUUGACAGACUGAGAGCUCUUUCUUCUUUUUUUUUGAUCAAAUGUAAGUAUUGUAUAGAUCAAAAGUUAGCUGGAGACCA